CGAACGCUGGCGGCGUGCUUAACACAUGCACGUCGAACGGAAAGGCCCUGCUUUUGUGGGGUGCUCGAGUGGCGAACGGGUGAGUAACACGUGAGUAACCUGCCCUUGACUUUGGGAUAACUUCAGGAAACUGGGGCUAAUACCGGAUAGGAGCUCCUGCUGCAUGGUGGGGGUUGGAAAGUUUCGGCGGUUGGGGAUGGACUCGCGGCUUAUCAGCUUGUUGGUGGGGUAGUGGCUUACCAAGGCUUUGACGGGUAGCCGGCCUGAGAGGGUGACCGGCCACAUUGGGACUGAGAUACGGCCCAGACUCCUACGGGAGGCAGCAGUGGGGAAUAUUGCACAAUGGGCGGAAGCCUGAUGCAGCAACGCCGCGUGCGGGAUGACGGCCUUCGGGCUGUAAACCGCUUUCGCCUGUGACGAAGCGUGAGUGACGGUAAUGGGUAAAGAAGCACCGGCUAACUACGUG
rnacentral:rRNA from 1 species